GAUUUCUUCGUAGCUAUGGACCAAACCUAGAACAAUUCAGAGAAGAUUGGCAUGUCCCUGCUCAAGGAUGAUAUGUAAAUGUGUGAAGCAUUUCAUAUUUAA